GGGCUCGUGCCGGCCGGGGUCGUGUUUUGGGGUCUGCAAGAGCCAGAAAAUGUCUGCAGAGCCCCUGACUCUUUUGUGGAAGUCUAAAGACUCUUUGGGGAAUUCUAAAGGGGAGCGGGAGGAGAUUGGAAGGAGCCAGAGCAUCUGUGGCAUUUCUUUAGUCUUCAGUAAAGAUCUUCAGUGAGUUACCAACCCUGGGAGUCAGGAUAUGAGCAGCCUCCAAAGUCUGUAAAGAAAGAAGUAAAGUAACUGUUGGGCCAUCAGAGUGGAUGUCAGUGUCAGCCACGGGGAGAUGGAAUAAUGCUCUCACUGCUGGAAGAGUCACCUCCAUUCAGGUAUUUCUGUUUCUUGUGCAGGCAGGACAUCACUCAUUUGCAAGCAUGGCUGGGUGUGAUUUCUGUUAGAUCUGGUGAGAUGGAUA
rnacentral:lncRNA from 1 species